AACGAACGCUGGCGGCAUGCCUAAUACAUGCAAGUCGAACGGUGUAGCAAUACACAGUGGCGCACGGGUGCGUAACACGUAUGCAACCUACCUCACAUUGGGGGAUAGCCUUUCGAAAGGGAGAUUAAUACCGCAUAAGACAGUAACUAGGCAUCUAGUAGCUGUUAAAGAUUUAUCGAUGUAAGCUGGGCAUGCGUCCAAUUAGUUAGUUGGCGAGGUAAUGGCUCACCAAGACGAUGAUUGGUAGGGGAACUGAGAGGUCAAUCCCCCACACUGGCACUGAGAUACGGGCCAGACUCCUACGGGAGGCAGCAGUAGGGAAUAUUGGGCAAUGGGCGCAAGCCUGACCCAGCCUUGCCGCGUGCAGGAAGAAGGCGUUAUGCGUUGUAAACUGCUUUUAUACAGGAAGAAACGACCCUUGCGAGGGGCAUUGACGGUACUGUAUGAAUAAGCACCGGCUAACUCCGUGCCAGCCGCCGCAGUAAUAC
rnacentral:rRNA from 1 species